CCUGGUUGAUCCUUCCAGUAGCAUAUGCUUGUCUCAAAGUUUAAGCCAUGCAGGUCUAAGUGCACACGGUCGGUACAGUGAAACUGCGAAUGGCUCAUUAAAUCAGUUAUGGAUCCUUUGAUCGCUCCACCUGCUACUUGGAUAACUGUGGCAAUUUCAGAGCUAAUACAUGCAAACGAGCACCGACCUGGCUCCCCUCGGGGGGUCGGGGACGCAUGCAUUUAUCAGAUCCAAAACCCAUCCGGGGGCAGCUCCGGCCGCCCCGGCCGCUUUGGUGACUCUAGAUAACCUUGGGCCGAUCGCGCGCCCUCCGCGGCGGCGACGACUCAUUCGAAUGUCCUAUCAACUUUCAAUGGUACAUUCGGCGCCUAUCAUGGUGACCACGGGGAAUCAGGGUUCGAUUCCGGAGAGGGAGCCUGAGAAACGGCUACCACAUCCAAGGAAGGCAGCAGGCGCGCAAAUUACCCAUUUCCGACACGGAGAGGUAGUGACGAAAAAUAACAAUACAGGUCUCUUUCGAGGCCCUGUAAUUGGAAUGAGCGUAUCCUAAACCCAUGGGCGAGGACCCAUUGGAGGGCAAGUCUGGUGCCAGCAGCCGCGGUAAUUCCAGCUCCAAUAGCGUAUACUAAAGUUGCUGCAGUUAAAAAGCUCGUAGUUGGAUCUCGGGAGCGGGCCGGCGGUCCGCCGCGAGGCGAGCCACCGCCUGUCCCGGACCCCUGCCUCACGGCGCCCCCCGGAUGCCCUUAACUGGGUGUCCGGUNGGUAACGGGGAAUCAGGGUUCGAUUCCGGAGAGGGAGCCUGAGAAACGGCUACCACAUCCAAGGAAGGCAGCAGGCGCGCAAAUUACCCAUUUCCGACACGGAGAGGUAGUGACGAAAAAUAACAAUACAGGUCUCUUUCGAGGCCCUGUAAUUGGAAUGAGCGUAUCCUAAACCCAUGGGCGAGGACCCAUUGGAGGGCAAGUCUGGUGCCAGCAGCCGCGAUAAUUCCAGCUCCAAUAGCGUAACCUAAAGUUUCUGCAGUUAAAAAGCUCGUAGUUGGAUCUCGGGAGCGGGCCGGCGGUAUACAUUCCUUUAUACAUUCCAUAUCGCCUCAACCAGGCAGAAAAAUUAAAAAUAAG
rnacentral:rRNA from 1 species